AAAAAAAAAAAAAAAAAAAAAAAAAAAAAAAGCAACCAAUCAACUAUGCUUCAAUUUUAAAAGGCGGGAGGAGAAAUUAAAACAGAAAUUCAGGAAACACCUGGCAAAGUCACACAAGAAAACACGCAGUAAGAUAGAUAUUAGAAAUGAAAAAAGAGGAUCUCAUUAUAGUCCCUUGUUGGUAUUGAAAAUAUAAUAAGAGGAAAUUAGCAACUUACAUAAGCAUAAUAUUUCUGAAGAAAAUAUUAGCACGUUAACUCAAUAUACAAAAGACUUAACACAUGAGCAAAUCGAGUUUAAACCAGGAGCGCAAGAUUGGUUUAAUGUAAUUUUCCACACUGAUUUUUUAAGGGAGAAAAAUCAUGUAAAAAUAUUAUCUCAUUAUAUGCCAAUAAAGGAUUGAUUGAAAUUCAAAAACAAAUGCAUCAAUUACGCUCAUUUACUCAUUCAGAGACCUAGUGCUACUGGAGCUGUUUCUCCUUGGAUACAAGGUUUGUCUGGUUCCCCCUGUGGUUUAGUGUGUGGCGUUAAGAUCGAACCCCAGGCUCCUAAGCACCGAGAAGGGAGUUGGGAGAUCAUGGCCCCCUUCCCAGGGCAGGAGGUGACAGGUGUCUGGUGAACUUUUGCAGGUGCCUGUCGUUGUGACACCAGUACUAGAGCCGGCUCUAGAUUGAUUGGUGGGCUUUGGAAAUUUGAAAGUACUGAGCACAAGAAAUAUUUGUUUUAUUCUUCCCCUGUACAGUGUUUCAUAAAAAUGAAAAGAUGAAAUGAGGGGAGCUCCCACUUGGCGGCGUCCUGGGAACACUGGGACGUGGGUUCGAUCCCCAGCGUGGCACAGUGGGUCGGGGAUCCAGCGUUGCCGCAGCUGCAGCUUAGGAUGCGAUGGCGGCUCUGAUUUGAUCCCUGGCCCGGUAGGAGUUCCAUAUGCCGCGGGGCGGCCAAAAAUGGAAAAAAAAAAUAGAGAUGAUGAGCAUUUGGAGACUAUAGUAGGCAGAGUGAUACGUGUGUGGAUUUUGAUUUUUAGAGGUGGCACAUUUUGAGAGAUCUGAGAAUGUUGAAUGUGUGGAUUGUUUUGCACACAGAGCCCAGUAUUUGAAGGGGAAGGUGUCGUGGGCAGAAUUCUAAACCGGCCCCAGGAUACCCGCCCCCACCGCUCCCACUGCAGGGUCCACACACUGUAGGAUUUCACCCCUUGAACGGGAACAUGAUGAAGGUGCUCCUGGGAUUGCAUCCAGGCUGUGGUGAAGAGGAAGAGAUAGGGCAGAGGUAACUAAAGACACUGGGCUUUCAGUUAAAGGGAAGGAGGCAGUGAUGGGUGGUCCUGACCAAAUCAGCUGAGCCCUUUCAAGAAGGUCCAGAAGUCUCCCAGAAGGAUAUAGUGCAGGAAAGAAAGGCUCUCCUGCUGACCUAGAAGAAGCAAAACACCCUGCUGUAAAGUCCUGAUGAGGGGGACCAUGUGGCGAGGACCUGAGGGGGGUGCUGGCAGCAGCUGACCGUCAGCGAGGAAGUGGGGGCUUCAGAAAUCAACUGCAGGCAACCGGAUUCUGUCAGCACCCAGAAUGCACUUGAAAAUGCCUUGUUUCCUGCUCAGACCUCAGGUGAGAGUGCAGCCCAGUCCACAGGUGGAUGUCAUCGUGGGGAGACCAGGAGCAGAGGCCUGGGUUAAUUAACCCCUCGGACGCACAGACUGCUGAGAGCAGAGAAUGAGCCCUCUCGUGCACAGGCGCUGUUUGCACAGGCUGAGAUGGUACUGCUUCAUUAGGCAACAUAGGAAACUCAGGCCGAGGGGAAACUAUUUAUGAGGUUCUGUGCAAGGUACACCCCACACGACAGCAUGGAGCUCCUCCUUAAGAAUACUGUGUAACAAGCGCCCUGCUGUUUCUCACAGGCAGUAACAUGCUUAAGUGGGGCUCCUUUGCCAGGAGCUCAAGGUCACGCUUGCCUUGUCUUUGAGCACCCACGUGUGUUCUGCUCCAUAUACACCCCAUAACUGCUCCCCUGCGUGCCCUUUCUUUCACCCCAAAGAGCUCUCUGUUUAUGAGCAGUUACCUGUGGGCUGGUUUUACCUUAUUGGCUCCAUUGCACGGCUCGACUGGACCCAGAGACCCUUAUUUUUCUCUUCAUGAUGUUUUCCUCUAAGUUCAUAGAAUGCAGAACAACAGUGCUUAUGAAAACAAAGGUGAUUCGGGGAUGGAGGGAUAACAGACUCCUCUCCAGGUGACCAUCACCUGGAAGAAUGAAACAAAUUGCCGAACAGCACACAGUGCAGUGAUGGGGCUUUUCAAAGAUGCCCCAUUGUUUCGACCGCUUUCCAAGCUUUAUUCAUGUCCAUGGGCGUUGAUCCAGACAGGGCCACCAGCCUAGAGCCUGGGCACAAUUUCAACAUGAGAGGCAAGAAACAAUUGCCAGCCUCUGUGUUGUAGUGUCCAGAAUUUCAAGUGCUGCCUAGACAUCUUGAAGCCUCACGGGAGCCCGAAGGGCUACUUGUGAGUUUCCUGCUCACCCAGGUGUGUCCCCCUCCCAGCAGGAAAGGGUCCCCACCUGGCAGACCCUCCUCGCGCGUGGGCCGGCAACGUGAUUUAAAGCAGCCAAUCGCAUCCUCCCGUGAGAAAGAGGUGGAGCUUCGUGUCUUGUUGCCACAGAGCCGGCUUCUGCCAGCUCCGCAGGUUCACGCUGUUCCUAGCUGGGCUUCACGUGCUGGGAGCUGUCUUCCCCCCAAAUGUUUCUGGCUCCACGAGGAUGAGACUGAGAACCAAAGAAGAGGCGGUUUCUGCCUUCGGAACCCACAGCUGAGUGGAGGAUUCAGGUCGUCUGGCAGCAGGAGGGUCCGCCUCUUCCACUCUUGGUGACGUUUCACAUUCUGGGAACCUCCUCCCGUCACCCCACAAUGGCGUUUUGUGUCUUGAUCCCCGUGGAAGAGCCCGGCGCACACACAGCUUAGCCUCUUCAUUCCUGGAGCCGUUCUACGUAUGCGAGACUGAAGCCAGGACAGAGGUCUUCAUCCUGGGUGUGCUUAUUCUUCACACCCUUCCCGAUGGUGGAGGUGAAGGUGCUGGUGGAUGAUAUAUCAGAAGCGACACCCCGGAACAGAGACCGCCUGUGACUGGAGCCCCAUUCCUGGCUGAACUGUACUGGGAAGAGCAGACCUGAGCAAGAUCUCUGAGACUUGGCCUCUGGCUUGAAGGUUGCACCACGGUGAGACUGAGAAGGCGCUUCCUGGAGGCCCCCAUUGACUCUGAAAGUUUCCAGUCUGGAAGAAAGAGAGCAGGUCGCUGCAAGCACUGAGGAUGAAAAGCCUCUGGAAACAAGGAACCGCCAGGCUUGGUCAGUGCCCCACCUGGAGAACAAGACCAGGGCAUUCAAGUUGCCUUGAUGACUGAGAGAUUCAAGAACCACCGUUCAAAAUAGUAGCCAUUAUGGAAAGGGGAUUUCAAAAGAAACACGGACUCCUAAGAGGUUAUAUCUAAAACUAACCAAAUCAGGUAGAAGAGACGGCAACAUGAGGGUCAAGCAGCAUCAAAACCAAGAACCCCAGGUGCCACUACAAUUAUUCUCCACUGAGAAGGAACAUUUGCUUCAAGCACUGACAACUCACUUGAAAACGUUAGUGCAGGAUGCUGCUCCUCUUUUUGCAUUUGUUAUGUUUAAACAGAGGAAACUGGAAAAUGGGCACAUACAAAAUAUAAGUGAGAUCUGAUGCAUGUCUGAGAGGCAGCUGAAUUUCAUUUGGGUCUUAAUUCAGGCUAAAUCUUGUCUUGGGAAAUUUUAAAAGUUAUUAAACACGGGGGUGAAGAGAGUUGGAUAAUUUUAAAAUGGCACAUGUGGCCGGGAAGUUUGAGGUUAGUAGAUGCAAACUAUGACGUUGAGAAUGCAUAA